UAACACACAAGCUCAGUCAGUAGAGCAUGAGACUCUUAAUCUCAGGGUUGUGGGUUCAAGCCCCACAUUGGGCAAAA
rnacentral:tRNA from 1 species